rnacentral:rRNA from 1 species
UACGUAGGGGGCAAGCGUUGUCCGGAAUCAUUGGGCGUAAAGCGCGCGUAGGCGGCCCGGUAAGUCCGCUGUAAAAGUCCAGGGCUCAACCCUGGAAAGCCGGUGGAUACUGUCGGGCUAGAGUCCGGAAGAGGUCGGCGGAACUGCGAGUGUAGAGGUGAAAUUCGUAGAUAUUCGCAAGAACACCAGUGGCGAAGGCGGCCGACUGGUCCGGUUCUGACGCUGAGGCGCGAAAGCGUGGGGAGCAAACAGG